rnacentral:rRNA from 1 species
ACUCCUACGGGAGGCAGCAGUGGGGAAUAUUGGACAAUGGGCGCAAGCCUGAUCCAGCCAUACCGCGUGGGUGAAGAAGGCCAUCGGGUUCUAAAGCCCUUUUGUUGGGAAAGAAAUCCAGCCGGCUAAUACCUGGUUGGGAUGACGGUACCCAAAGAAUAAGCACCGGCUAACUUCGUGCCAGCAGCCGCGGUAAU